GGCUUUUCCUUACCGGUUGCUCUACACAUCCUAUGAUUCUGUCCAAUUCUAAUGGCCAUUACCUCAUGUUCAUCCCAGGACUCUCCAUUCUCACCACAAAAAAAAAAGAGAGAGAAAGAAGGAUGGAAAAUGCCUUCCAGGCAAUCAAUGUGCCAGAUGCAGAAGCAAGACCAGACACGUAGCCAUGGCUACAUCCUGGUGCACUGCACGAACACAUGAGGACACUGGGACGAUUUGGCACUGGCUGAUUGCUGGCUGUGUGUGUCAUGCUUGCCUCCAUGUGAGCCGACGAAGUGACCCCCCUUGGCGGCUGAAUAAAGCGGCUGAUAUGAAUUGAUAAAACUUGCAGGAUUGUUCAGUAUAGUAGGCAGGUUUUCUCUGAAACCGUGGGCAGGUGGUAUAGUGCUAUGGAUAGAUAUGGAGAUAAAUUGUCAUGAAAUUUGUGGAUAUCUUAUCGCCCUCAUGGACACCCUCUUGACCUAUUUCCUCUGUGUGCCUUCUUUUCCAUUUGGUUCACAAGAUACCGGUGAUCUGAUCCCCUGUCCUCCCAUGGCUGUAGGAAAGGCUGCAUGAUAUCUCUUGGAGUUCUGAACUUGAGCUGGGUCAUUGCUGACAGAUCAAUGGCAACGGAAGCUAUGCUUCUG